AUUUAUCAGAAUUUUUUUUUAACUCCAUUACUUCUGGAUCUGCUGAUGAGAGAAGGCCAAGAUACUUGGAUUUUUUACCUUUUAGCAAACAUUCUAUUCAUUUUAAUCAACUUAAUCAUACAUGUUUGUC